rnacentral:lncRNA from 1 species
CCUGGAUCCAACUUCCGGCUCUGCUGAAGCCCUGAGCUCCUGUUACCCGCACCCCCUACCCUGAGCAUCCUUUAUCCCACAAGCUUCCUGCAGGCUUUGACUGUCAUCCCUCCGCUCGAGGCCUUCUCAGAUGGCUUCCAGUUGCCCUCUGUGAGCUCUAAGACCCCUUCCGAGGGCGCUCAUCACAUUCAGAGCUGCCACCUGCUCAUCUCCCGGCAGCCCCUUCCCAACUAAGACCCCAGCGGAGGAAGCCAAGGACAGGGAGAUCAGCAUUUCCCUUCUUGCACUGGGGCGUCCUUCCUGAGCCAAGAGAAGAAGACCCACGUGCAAUUCCAUAGGCUUCCCAAUCUGGCCUGAGCCCAGAGAAAAAGGCAGGAAACAAACGGAAUUAGAACCCGCAGGCUGCAGAAGCAAUUUGGGAUGUGGCAUGAGGCUCACGGUAAUCAUACUUAGCAUGAACCAGGCAGGAGAACUCAGCCUACAGAAGCUCCCAGGCCACCAAGUGCAGCCCCUGCUUAGAAC